rnacentral:rRNA from 1 species
UACGAAGGGGGCUAGCGUUGUUCGGAAUCACUGGGCGUAAAGCGCACGUAGGCGGAUUGUUAAGUCGGGGGUGAAAUCCUGAGGCUCAACCUCAGAACUGCCUUCGAUACUGGCAAUCUCGAGUCCGGAAGAGGUUGGUGGAACAGCUAGUGUAGAGGUGAAAUUCGUAGAUAUUAGCUAGAACACCAGUGGCGAAGGCGGCCAACUGGUCCGG